UUUUUUAGAGCAAAGUAAGAAAAUAUGUGUGUCCUAAUACUUCUAGCUUUAAUAAUUAUCCUUUCUUAAGAUAUUUUUACAAGUGACUUUAGGAUAAACCUUAUCCUAGGCCACGAUUUUCCAAGAGUCAUUAUGACCAUCAUUUAGCUUCUUGAACAAGCCUAGCUCCAUGAGAGAAAAUGGAAGAACUUCCAUGAAAACUCCAAACUUCAAUCUCCAUUCUUUUUCAAACUAAAACUCCAGUCGAAAAUCUAAACCGAUUAAAGUGACCACCUCAUCUUUCUCUUCUCAACCAUACCAUUUUUCUUGAGGAUCUCUUGUUCACUCACCUUAAGCUCCAAGAGAACGUGAUUUCCAGUAGCCUUGAGAUAAAAAAUCCUUCUUUUUAUUACCAUGAAGCUUCAGCCUCCAUAGUUCAUAUGAUUCUAAAGUUAUUUUUUAUGUUAAAUUAGGCAUAAAAGUGAUUUUGGAAGCUUGUUCUUGGUUCAGUUCUUGGACAGCUACAAAAAAGGCUACGAUAGAGAAUGUACCAGCCUUGCAAGCUGAGAAUACUUGGUAAAGGCCUGACUAACAUACCUGCGAUAUAUUGAGAACUAAUCAAAUACUAGCCCUGCAAGUUAAGAGUACUUGGUAGAGGGUAUGUUGUACUUAAUCUGGGAUUAAGUUCUGGGAAAGCCUUAUCUGACGUGUCGGAUUACGUCAGGUGCGAGUCGAAACUGAUAAAUGAGCUUAUUACCUAUAGUAGGACCAGACAUGCAUCAUACUUGUUUGCGUAUAAUUGUGUGAUUGCAUAUUGAAUGUGAUUAUACAUAUGUCUCUUGUUUCUUCUGCUAUUUGUGUUUUGGCUUAUAAUGUUAUUAUGUAUAUAUUUGUCUAGACUUUAUCAUGACUAUGUAAUCACAAAUGUUAUAAAUGAACUUAACUGUAAACCCCGACCUUACUAAGAACUCUCUAAUUCUUACCUCUUACUCAUCUUCAGAUGGACACGGGAGUCCUAUUUUACGAGAUUGAUCAUCCUUAUAUCCACGAGGACCUGGUACGCAGCGAUUAUUACAUCUAUUAUGCGGUACCUCGUGUUCGUAAUUAUAUAGUAUGUGGUAGACCCUUUUAGCAUCCUAUUGUACACCUUACUUUGAUCCCGACGCACCUUAUGAUUUUCCUCUUUUAUUGGCUGCAUCUUGAGGAAGACUCCGAGAUCAUAGAUAUCUCUUCUGAUAGUGAUGAUCUAUAUGAGGCACUAGCAGGCGGACAUCACCACUUGCCGAACAAUUUUCUGUAAGGCGCUUGGAUUAGAGACGAGGAAACCUUUUGGGACGUCCAGUCUAACUUUAGUGCGUUAGAGUGUUUCCCUCACUUUUGCUAGUAUGCUCAGAAGGAAUAGACAUGUCAUAGAGUUAUACUAGCCUGGGUGCCAGCUUAGGGACUUUUUGGACAGGUUAGGUCCUGGGACGUCUUAUAUAUAUAUAUAAAUAUUAUAUGAGUCACUAACUGAGAAAUGCUGUAUCACAGUUCUGUACUUGUAUGACUGAGCUACUCUUGUAUUAUUAUGUAUAUUAUAGUGUGAUGUUUUAUAUAUUGCCUUC